rnacentral:rRNA from 1 species
UACAGAGGUGGCAAGCGUUGUUCGGAAUUACUGGGCGUAAAGGGCGCGUAGGCGGUUCGUUAAGUCCUGUGUGAAAUCCCCCGGCUCAACUGGGAAACUGCACAGGAAACUAGCGGGCUUGAGUUCGGGAGAGGGAAGCGGAAUUCCGGGUGUAGCGGUGAAAUGCGUAGAUAUCCGGAGGAACACCGGUGGCGAAGGCGGCUUCCUGGACCGACACUGACGCUGAGGCGCGAAAGCUAGGGGAGCAAACGGG